AGAAAGUAAAGUGGAACUGCUAAUCCCACAAACCCAUAAUUAACAUUAUGGCUUUCUU
rnacentral:tRNA from 1 species